rnacentral:rRNA from 1 species
GACGAACGCUGGCGGCGUGCUUAACACAUGCAAGUCGAACGGUGAAGCGCCUUCCUUUUUGGUGGGUGUGGAUGAGUGGCGAACGGGUGAGUAACACGUGAGUAACCUGCCCCCUUCUUCUGGAUAACCGCAUGAAAGUGUGGCUAAUACGGGUUAUUCUGGGUCUGUCGCAUGAUGGGUCUGGGAAAGAUAUUGUUUCGGUGGGGGAUGGGCUCGCGGCCUAUCAGCUUGUUGGUGGGGUGAUGGCCUACCAAGGCGGUGACGGGUAGCCGGCCUGAGAGGGUGGACGGUCACACUGGGACUGAGACACGGCCCAGACUCCUACGGGAGGCAGCAGUGGGGAAUAUUGCACAAUGGGCGCAAGCCUGAUGCAGCGACGCCGCGGGAGGGAUGGAGGCCUUCGGGUUGUGAACCUCUUUCGCCAGUGAAGCAGGCCUGCCUCGUUUGUGGGUGGGUUGACGGUAGCUGGAUAAGAAGCGCCGGCUAACUACGUG